ACCCUAUUAGUUUAAUGGUAGAACAAGAUUUUCCUAAUUUCUUAAUCUGAGUUCGAGUCUUGGAUAGGGAA
rfam:Phaeosphaeria nodorum SN15 mitochondrion, complete genome.